UCCCUAGUGGUCCAGUGGUUAAGAUUCUGUACUCCCAAUGCAGGGGACCCAGGUUCAAUUCCUGAUCAGGGAA
rnacentral:tRNA from 1 species